rnacentral:rRNA from 1 species
CUACGUGCCAGCAGCCGCGGUAAUACGUAGGUCCCGAGCGUUGUCCGGAUUUAUUGGGCGUAAAGCGAGCGCAGGCGGUUAGAUAAGUCUGAAGUUAAAGGCUGUGGCUUAACCAUAGUACGCUUUGGAAACUGUUUAACUUGAGUGCAAGAGGGGAGAGUGGAAUUCCAUGUGUAGCGGUGAAAUGCGUAGAUAUAUGGAGGAACACCGGUGGCGAAAGCGGCUCUCUGGCUUGUAACUGACGCUGAGGCUCGAAAGCGUGGGGAGCAAACAGGAUUAGAUACCCUGGUAGUCCACGCCGUAAACGAUGAGUGCUAGGUGUUAGACCCUUUCCGGGGUUUAGUGCCGUAGCUAACGCAUUAAGCACUCCGCCUGGGGAGUACGACCGCAAGGUUGAAACUCAAAGGAAUUGACGGGGGCCCGCACAAGCGGAGGAACAUGUGGUUUAAUUCGAUGAUACGCGAGGAACCUUACCCGGGCUUGAA